rnacentral:rRNA from 1 species
AUGCACAUGAUGUGGCACAACACCGGCAAUACCUUGCCGGUGAUGGUCAACGGUCGGCAGACGGGCAGCAAAAAGGUUCUGGUGCUGCACACCAACAAGAACUUCGACCAACAGAGGACCAACUGGGUGAUGCACCAGUACCACCUCGUGGACCUGGAGAAAGAGAAGGAGCGGGAGAUGGUCCUCUGUCGAGCAAGUUUCAACUGGGCUGUAGACUGCCGAGGCUUGGUUUUGUUUUUAACAGGCCCAGCCCAUGAAGACAACAGUGCACAAAGAUCCAGCAGGUAUUUUUACUAG